rnacentral:lncRNA from 1 species
UUUAUUAAUGAUCAUUAAUAAUUAGAAUUCAUUAAUUAAUAUUAAUAUUUAAUUAACAUUAAAGGAUGGUUUUAGAAUAUAAAGAAAAGAAUGUGAGUUAAUGUGCCUUGUACCACUUACCAUAAACAUUAAUUAGGCUAUAGCAAAAUUGUAUAUACCUUUAGAAUUCCUCCCCUUCCAUUAGGUAUAAUGCUGAUUUCCCCCCCUCAAAUUUAAUCAACAUACAGGAGUAAAUUUGAACAUAUGAGAUACAUUGUGAAUGGAAAUAUUAUUCUUGUGUAUCUUGGGGUCUAACACUAAGAUAAAAAGAAUUUUUAAGGGGCGUAUCAAUUAAUGUCAAAAGACUGAUCAAGAAAACUAAUUUUUCUAAAUAAAAUUAACACACCACUGUACUUUGAAAUUAUUUAUAUUUUGUUGCCCAUGCACUUAAAUUUUUUUUUAAUUUUUUUCAAGUAAAGAUCGAAUAUUUUCUUGUUCAAGAAGCUUGUUGAUAGCUUUUAAUCUUCUCUGUGAAAAAAUGAUGCAAAGAAGAGUCCAGAACCUCGAUUUAUUUUCUUGUCAAAUAGACAAAGGGGACAACGAACUGGGGCUUUGUACUUGUAUCUUCUUUGAUCCAGCAGAUGAGGAUGGAAAGGAACCAGGGGUUUUUAUAACUGAAAUUAUUGAAGGAGGUGCAGUUCACAAACUUGGAUGUAUCCGUGUAUUUGACCAGAUUAUUAAAAUAGGUGACAUCAAUCUAAUUGGAUUGGAUGAAGCAGAAAUCGUCUCUACUUUUAAAAAAAUGGACGAUUCUCCUUUCCAGAUUGAAAUUGGCCGCGAACCACCUAAAGUGAAGUCAGAACUUAUCGAACUCCUCGAGUUGUCAGAGGAAAGGAAGAAAUAUUUUAUGGAUUCGCUCAUAGUACAGGUAUUAUGUGAACCAAAUAAAAAAAUGCAGAAACGCAAAAUUCUUUCUUUUUUUAUCAUAACAAUAUUAAAAUAAAAUUUUUGUUCUUUAAAACGUUUCCUUUCCUACUCUUCAGUAACUUCAUCUUAAUUUAUUACAUACUUUUUUUAUUGUUGCUCUUUUAUGCAAUUUUAUCAAUGUCUCUGAGAUUUACAUUCUAAUCUUCUCUGAUGCACUCCAAUCUUCACCACUGAAUUAUCAUUUGUAGUAUAGAGAAUGAAUUAAGCAAAACUGAACAAUAAAUACAGCAACUGAAUCUGAUAGUUUUGCUUC